rnacentral:tRNA from 1 species
GGCCUUGUAGUUUAUUUUAAAACGUCGCCCUGCAAUGGUGAAGAUAUCUCGAGUCAAGGUCU